GCUCAGAAUGAACGCUGGCGGCGUGCUUACACAUGCAAGUCGAACGAGAAACUUUAGCUUGCUAGAGAAAGUAAAGUGGCGCACGGGUGAGUAACGCGUGGGUAAUCUGCCUCCGAAUCGGGGAUAACAUUGCGAAAGCGAUGCUAAUACCGGAUAAAAUCUGGUUGGCUUCGGUGAACCGGAUCAAAGGUGGUCUCUUUAUAAAAGCUACCGUUUGGAGAUGAGCUCGCGUACCAUUAGCUAGUUGGUGAGGUAAAGGCUCACCAAGGCGACGAUGGUUAGCUGGUCUGAGAGGAUGAUCAGCCACACCGGAACUGGAACACGGUCCGGACUCCUGCGGGAGGCAGCAGUGAGGAAUUUUGCGCAAUGGGGGAAACCCUGACGCAGCAACGCCGCGUGAGUGAUGAAGGCUUUCGGGUCGUAAAGCUCUGUCAGGUGGGAAGAACCCACCAAGUGUUAAGACCACUUGGUGCUGACGGUACCACCGAAGGAAGCACCGGCUAACUCCGUGCCAGCAGCCGCGGUAAUACGGGGGGUGCGAGCGUUAUUCGGAAUCAUUGGGCGUAAAGGGCGCGCAGGCGGUUUUGUAAGUCAGAUGUGAAAUCCCGGGGCUUAACCCCGGAAGUGCAUAUGAAACUAUGAGACUUGAGUAUGGGAGAGGGAAGCGGAAUUCCUGGUGUACCGGUGAAAUGCGUAGAUCUCAGGAGGAACACCGGUGGCGCACGCGGCUUCCUGGACCAAUACUGACGCUGAGGCG
rnacentral:rRNA from 1 species